rnacentral:rRNA from 2 species
GGUGACCUCGGAUCAGGUAGGAAUACCCGCUGAACUUAAGCAUAUCA